GUGCUCCUGGAAUAGUACUGCCAGGGACUGGAUCCUAGCUAAGCCCCCCCCCCGGGGGGGGGCAAUGAUUGACUUGUGCAAGUCCCUUACCCAUCUGAGCCUGAGGCCUGUCAUUUGUCAAGCAGGGACAAUGCUUUGAGGAUUGGUCCUGACUGAGUCUGAGAUGUCAAUCACCAUACCAGGCCCAGUAUCUUCUGUUUGGACCACUGAUCUGCUGGGGAGACCCUGCUGGAGUUACCUCAUGUCUUGACUGGAAUUCCUACAUUCUUCUACAUGGAUGAGGCAGACUGGAACAGAAGGCAGAUCAAGGCCCUGGAGCUACCUCCUUUGCCAUCCCUGAGACCUCCUGAGGAGCUUGGCAGACCUCAGCUUCUCUGCUUCUCCUUCUCCUGACUGCAAGUCACCCUAACUUGGAGACAUACAUGCCCUAUAGGUUACAUGGGCAUAAGUGUGACAGAGAUGUCAUGGCCUCCGAGGACAUCACUGGGAAGAUCCUUUGACCAGCAGUU